rnacentral:rRNA from 1 species
UGAAUGGGGCAACCCAGCAUGUUGAAGACAUGUUACACCGUAAGGUGAGCAAACCCGGAGAACUGAAACAUCUAAGUACCCGGAGGAGAAGAAAACAAUAGUGAUUCCGUAAGUAGCGGCGAGCGAACGCGGAGUAGCCCAAACCAGUCUUGUUACGGCAAGGCUGGGGUUGUAAGACCACGUUAUUGGUUGUGUAAUGAAUUAGAAUCCGUUGGAAAUCGGAACCAUAGAGGGUGAUAGUCCCGUAUAAGUAAAGAACAUUAACCAUAGUGGUAUCCUGAGUAGUGCGGGACACGUGUAAUCCUGUAUGAAUUUGCCGGGUACCACCGGU